rnacentral:lncRNA from 1 species
GACUUUGUCUUUUGCUGCCUCUUCAAAUGUAUAGGGUUCACAAGAAAAAUAUGCUACGUGACUUGAUUCAUAAAUUUCUCUUAAGGAUCUGACCUUUAAUGGAGGUGAGUCUGAAUCUGUCACGACGUCUCUGAAGUUGUCUCUUGUUGGACUCGUUGUUGGACUUCUUCCUUGGCUUGGAUUUUGAUCCGCCUCAUUUGGUGUUGUUGGUGUAGUUGUUGGAUUCUCCAGGAUCUCAUUUGUUGAUGGAGGUUGAGUAUCCUGAGUUUCCCAACUCCACUCGGCCAUUUCGUCGAAAAUAACGUCUCGUGAAAUCACCACCU